rnacentral:rRNA from 1 species
UACAGAGGGUGCAAGCGUUGUUCGGAAUUACUGGGCGUAAAGCGCACGUAGGCGGAUAUUUAAGUCAGGGGUGAAAUCCCAGAGCUCAACUCUGGAACUGCCUUUGAUACUGGGUAUCUUGAGUAUGGAAGAGGUAAGUGGAAUUGCGAGUGUAGAGGUGAAAUUCGUAGAUAUUCGCAGGAACACCAGUGGCGAAGGCGGCUUACUG